UACGGGGGGGGGCAAGCGUUGUUCGGAAUUACUGGGCGUAAAGGGCGCGUAGGCGGCCUUCUAAGUCGGACGUGAAAUCCCUCGGCUUAACCGAGGAACUGCGUCCGAUACUGAAAGGCUUGAAUCCGGGAGAGGGAUGUGGAAUUCCAGGUGUAGCGGUGAAAUGCGUAGAUAUCUGGAGGAACACCAAUGGCGAAGGCAGCUCGCUGGGACGUGACUGACGCUGAGACGCGAAAGCGUGGGGAGCAAACAGG
rnacentral:rRNA from 1 species